CCUACGGGUGGCAGCAGUGGGGAAUUGUUCGCAAUGGGCGCAAGCCUGACGACGCAACGCCGCGUGGAGGAUGAAGAUCUUCGGGUCGUAAACUCCUGUCGAGCGGGAAGAAUUGCUGCGGAGUGAAUAGCUUCGCAGCUUGACGGUACCGCUAAAGGAAGCCCCGGCUAACUCCGUGCCAGCAGCCGCGGUAAUACGGGGGGGGCAAGCGUUGUUCGGAAUUACUGGGCGUAAAGGGCUCGUAGGCGGCCAACUAAGUCGGACGUGAAAUCCCCAGGCUCAACCUGGGAACUGCGUCCGAUACUGGAUGGCUUGAAUUCGGGAGAGGGAUGCAGAAUUCCAGGUGUAGCGGUGAAAUGCGUAGAUAUCUGGAGGAAUACCGGUGGCGAAGGCGGCAUCCUGGACCGACAUUGACGCUGAGGAGCGAAAGCCAGGGGAGC
rnacentral:rRNA from 1 species